rfam:Brassica rapa chromosome A8, whole genome shotgun sequence.
GUCCCUUGGGGAGAUCCGAUAAAACAGGAAUGAUACAGAAAAGAUUAGCAUGGCUCCUGUGCAAGGAUGACACGCACAAAUCGAGAAUUGGUCUAAGAAAAAAUUU